rnacentral:rRNA from 1 species
AGAGUUUGAUCMUGGCUCAGAACGRACGCUGGCGGCGUGCUUAACACAUGCAAGUCGAGCGCCUGGAGGGAUUCGUCCCGAAGGGAGCGGCAGACGGGUGAGUAACACGUGGGUAAUUUGUCCUUGGGCGUGGAAUAACCAGCCGAAAGGUUGGCUAAUACCGCAUAAGACCACGGAGCUUCGGCUUUGUGGUAAAAGGCYUCGGCCACCGAAGGAGGAGCCCGCGGCCGAUUAGCUAGUUGGUGAGGUAACGGCUCACCAAGGCGACGAUCGGUAGCUGGUCUGAGAGGAUGAUCAGCCACACUGGUACUUAGAUACGGACCAGACUCCUACGRGAGGCAGCAGUGGGGAAUAUUGCGCAAUGGGCGAAAGCCUGACGCAGCAACGCCGCGUGUGUGAUGAAGGCCUUCGGGUCGUAAAGCACUGUCAGGUGGGAAGAAACCUACGCAAGUAGCUGACGGUACCACCAGAGGAAGCACCGGCUAACUCCGUGCCAGCAGCCGCGGUAAUACGGAGGGUGCAAGCGUUGUUCGGAAUCACUGGGCGUAAAGGGCGCGUAGGCGGGUUUGAAAGUCUGAUGUGAAAGYCCGGGGCUCAACUCCGGAAGUGCAUUGGAAACUUCAAAUCUUGAGUUCGGGAGAGGAAAGCAGAAUUCCCGGUGUAGGGGUGAAAUCCGUAGAGAUCGGGAGGARAACCAGUGGCGAAGGCGGCUUUCUGGAACGAAACUGACGCUGAGGCGCGAAAGCGUGGGGAGCAAACAGGAUUAGAUACCCUGGUAGUCC